rnacentral:rRNA from 2 species
UUGAACGCUGGCGGCAGGCCUAACACAUGCAAGUCGAGCGGAUGAAGGGAGCUUGCUCCUGGAUUCAGCGGCGGACGGGUGAGUAAUGCCUAGGAAUCUGCCUGGUAGUGGGGGAUAACGUCCGGAAACGGGCGCUAAUACCGCAUACGUCCUGAGGGAGAAAGUGGGGGAUCUUCGGACCUCACGCUAUCAGAUGAGCCUAGGUCGGAUUAGCUAGUUGGUGGGGUAAAGGCCUACCAAGGCGACGAUCCGUAACUGGUCUGAGAGGAUGAUCAGUCACACUGGAACUGAGACACGGUCCAGACUCCUACGGGAGGCAGCAGUGGGGAAUAUUGGACAAUGGGCGAAAGCCUGAUCCAGCCAUGCCGCGUGUGUGAAGAAGGUCUUCGGAUUGUAAAGCACUUUAAGUUGGGAGGAAGGGCAGUAAGUUAAUACCUUGCUGUUUUGACGUUACCAACAGAAUAAGCACCGGCUAACUUC